rnacentral:lncRNA from 1 species
UGGAAACCGACUGCUUCUCUGAGAGUAACUGUUAGUACAGAGAAUGAUUCUGAGUUUUGUGAGUGACUGAUUUCACCUCGGCUUUACUCCUUCGCGCCGCAUCCCAUCUAUUAACUGCAGCUUCCCGGGUCAGCUGAUGGGAUUACGAACAAAAACAAAGUUAUCGUCAAUGUUUGAAAGUUUCAUAAAGAGAAAAUGCCAGCGGGGAUCUACUCCUCUGAAACGCAAGAAGACUCUGUAAUUGCUGAUCGAGUUCUCGAUUGCAACAUCUCGGGAAUUUCGCGCACAGCAUUCCCAGAACUAGUCUGGUGAGGAAAUGUAAAGAAAAACAAACUCGCAGCCGCAUUUCCCGUGAUGAUCCUUUAUUCACAGGGCACAAACACUGCAUGUUUUCUUUUAUUGUUUCGUUCCUUUUGAGACAGGGCCUCGCUAUCAGCUAUGGCUGGCCUGGAACUCGCUAUGUACACCAUUUAUUGAUUGACUGAUUGAUUGAUUGCAGAUACGUGAAAGAAUGUUACAAUACACACACGUGGAGGUUGAACUCAGACUUCAGAAACUGGAACUCACAAGGUGCAAAUUACCGACAGAGCUAUGUCUCCACCCUGUGUAUUAUUUUUAAUGUGGCCCUGGGUCACAAACUUCCCCUUUUACAGAGAUCUGCCUGCCUCUGCCUCCUGAGCGCUGGGAUUUAAAGGUGUGUGUCAUCAUGCCCCGCUAUAUUGCACGUUUUAAUGAGCUCCUAUAUACGUUUUUGGACUCUCUGACUUUAUCAGAUAGUGUAAAAAAGAAAAAAAAAAAAAAAGGCUUUGAAGAUUAAAUUAUCCUGGGCUGACACCUUGUGGUACAAAUAGCCUCUUGCAGCUUUUAUUUCAUUUCUAAUGAAAGUAGAAAAUCACUAAAAGCACCUUUAGAGAAACUGUAACUCAUAAGGUGGAAGGAAAUACUUGCACUUAACCGACUGGGGUGUGUCUCCGCCCUGUGUAUUAUUUUCAG